CCUACGGGUGGCAGCAGUAGGGAAUAUUGCUCAAUGGGGGAAACCCUGAAGCAGCAACGCCGCGUGGAGGAUGAAGGUUUUCGGAUUGUAAACUCCUUUUGUUAGAGAAGAUAAUGACGGUAUUUAACGAAUAAGCACCGGCUAACACCGUGCCAGCUGCCGGGGUAAUACGGAGGGUGCAAGCGUUACUCGGAAUCUCUGGGCGUAAAGCGCGCGUAGGCGGGAUAGCAAGUCCGAUGUGAAAUCCUAUGGCUUAACCCUAGAACUGCAUUUGAAACUGGUGUUCUGGAGUAGGGGAGAGGUAGGUGGAAUUCUUGGUGUAGGGGUAAAAUCCGUAGAGAUCGAGAGGAAUACUCAUUGCGAAGGCGACCUGCUGGAACAUAACUGACGCUGAUGCACGAAAGCGUGGGGAGCGAACAGGAUUAGAUACCCUAGUAGUC
rnacentral:rRNA from 1 species